UCACCGGGUGGAAAAUUUGAGC
rnacentral:miRNA from 1 species